UAGUGAACCAGUACCGUGAGGGAAAGGCGAAAAGAACCCCGGCGAGGGGAGUGAAAAAGAACCUGAAACCGUGUACGUACAAGCAGUGGGAGCCUCUUUUAUGGGGUGACUGCGUACCUUUUGUAUAAUGGGUCAGCGACUUAUAUUCUGUAGCAAGGUUAACCGUAUAGGGGAGCCGGAGGGAAACCGAGUCUUAACCGGGCGUUAAGUUGCAGGGUAUAGACCCGAAACCCGGUGAUCUAGCCAUGGGCAGGUUGAAGGUUGGGUAACACUAACUGGAGGACCGAACCGACUAAUGUUGAAAAAUUAGCGGAUGACCUGUGGCUGGGGGUGAAAGGCCAAUCAAACCGGGAGAUAGCUGGUUCUCCCCGAAAGCUAUUUAGGUAGCGCCUCGUGAAUUCAUCUCCGGGGGUAGAGCACUGUUUCGGCUAGGGGGUCAUCCCGACUUACCAACCCGAUGCAAACUGCGAAUACCGGAGAAUGUUAUCACGGGAGACACACGGCGGGUGCUAACGUCCGUCGUGAAGAGGGAAACAACCCAGACCGCCAGCUAAGGUCCCAAAGUCAUGGUUAAGUGGGAAACGAUGUGGGAAGGCCCAGACAGCCAGGAUGUUGGCUUAGAAGCAGCCAUCAUUUAAAGAAAGCGUAAUAGCUCACUGGUCGAGUCGGCCUGCGCGGAAGAUGUAACGGGGCUAAACCAUGCACCGAAGCUGCGGCAGCGACGCUUAUGCGUUGUUGGGUAGGGGAGCGUUCUGUAAGCCUGUGAAGGUGGCCUGUGAGGGUUGCUGGAGGUAUCAGAAGUGCGAAUGCUGACAUAAGUAACGAUAAAGCGGGUGAAAAGCCCGCUCGCCGGAAGACCAAGGGUUCCUGUCCAACGUUAAUCGGGGCAGGGUGAGUCGACCCCUAAGGCGAGGCCGAAAGGCGUAGUCGAUGGGAAACGGGUUAAUAUUCCCGUACUUGGUGUUACUGCGAAGGGGGGACGGAGAAGGCUAUGUUGGCCGGGCGACGGUUGUCCCGGUUUAAGCGUGUAGGUGUGUGUUCCAGGUAAAUCCGGUUCACUUUAACAC
rnacentral:rRNA from 1 species